GCCUCGGUGGUGUAAAGAUAGCACGCAUCCGCGGCAUGGAUGAAACGCGGGUUCGGCUCCCGCCUGAGGUC